ensembl:misc_RNA
UUUACAUCCCUGGAAACUUCGCUCUGCACAUCCCCAGAGCAGGUACAGCACAGGCUGUGGCAGCACAAGCUUCCCUCAAGCUGCCCUGUGACACUUGUCAACUCUGACUUGGCUGGAUCACUUCUAGGGAUGGAAGGGCAGAUCUGUCUCAAUCCCAUUUCAAUUCUAAUCUCUC